rnacentral:rRNA from 1 species
GGGGUUUCCUUAAACAUGCAAGUUCGAACGGAAAGGUCUCUUCGGAGAUACUCGAGUGGCGAACGGGUGAGUAACACGUGGGUGAUCUGCCCUGCACUUCGGGAUAAGCCUGGGAAACUGGGUCUAAUACCGGAUAGGACCACGGGAUGCAUGUCUUGUGGUGGAAAGCGCUUUAGCGGUGUGGGAUGAGCCCGCGGCCUAUCAGCUUGUUGGUGGGGUGACGGCCUACCAAGGCGACGACGGGUAGCCGGCCUGAGAGGGUGUCCGGCCACACUGGGACUGAGAUACGGCCCAGACUCCUACGGGAGGCAGCAGUGGGGAAUAUUGCACAAUGGGCGCAAGCCUGAUGCACCGACGCCGCGUGGGGGAUGACGGCCUUCGGGUUGUAAACCUCUUUCACCAUCUACAAAGGUCCGGGUUCUCUCGGAUUGACGGUAGGUGGAGAAGAAGCACCGGCCAACUACGUGCCAGCAGCCGCU